GCUCGUGGGUGGGGGGUUCGCUUGGGGGAAACUGGAUAUGCCAACGGCUGUGUCUUCCAAGCAAGGAUAACCCUCAUUGCGUAGGUGAAGACUGAGGUUUAGAGAAGCUGAUGACUUGUUGGAAGUGACUCAACGGCAGUUGGGCUGAGUUUUGGAUUCGCCCCUGCCCACUGACGCCAAACGCGGAUGACAGCCUGAAAGCAAUUUGUCCGGUCUAUCUGCUGUGGCUUUUGAAUAUUUGAAAUGUGGUUAACCUGAAUGAAGAUGUGCCACCGGUGUAAAAUAUACAAGAUUUUGAAGACUUGUAUAAAGGAAUGAUGUAAAACAACUCAUUCAUAAUUUUUAUAAUGACUGUAUGUGGAAAGGAUACAAUUUUGGAUAUA